UACGUAGGGUCCAAGCGUUAUCCGGAAUCACUGGGCGUAAAGCGUGCGUAGGUGGUUUGUUAAGUGUGGUGUUAAAUCGUGGGGCUCAACCCUAUCGAUGCAUCGCAUACUGGCAGACUAGAGGACAGCAGAGGCAAGUGGAAUUGUAGUGUAGCAGUGAAAUGCGUAGAUAUUACAAGGAACACCAAUGGCGAAGGCAGCUUGCUGGGCUACUCCUGACACUGAGGUACGAAAGGCGUGGGGAGCGAACAGGAUUAGAUACC
rnacentral:rRNA from 1 species